rnacentral:rRNA from 1 species
AUUGAACGCUGGCGGCAUGCUUUACACAUGCAAGUCGAACGGCAGCGCGGGCUUCGGCCUGGCGGCGAGUGGCGAACGGGUGAGUAAUACAUCGGAACGUGCCCAGUAGUGGGGGAUAGCUCGGCGAAGGCCGGAUUAAUACCGCAUACGACCUGAGGGUGAAAGCGGGGGAUCUUCGGACCUCGCGCUAUUGGAGCGGCCGAUGGCAGAUUAGCUAGUUGGUGGGGUAAAGGCCUACCAAGGCGACGAUCUGUAGCUGGUCUGAGAGGACGACCAGCCACACUGGGACUGAGACACGGCCCAGACUCCUACGGGAGGCAGCAGUGGGGAAUUUUGGACAAUGGGCGAAAGCCUGAUUCAGCAAUGCCGCGUGUGUGAUGAAGGCCUUCGGGUUGUAAAGCACUUUUGGCGGGAACGAAAAGGACUGUGCCAAUACCACGGUUCGAUGACGGUACCCGCAGAAUAAGCACCGGCUAACUACGUG